GCUCUCCUUGUGCUCUGUGUUCCAGCAUUGUGUCAAUAAGAAGUGGUGCUGUGAAGAGAACAAUAGUCAGACUGAAUGUUGAACAUCAGCUGCUUCCUCCUGCUGAUUUAAACCUUGGUGGACAGAUGGAACAUUGGCUGUGGAUUAUUCUGGCUGCUCUUUUCUCUGAGUGUAAAGGAGACUCAGUGAAGCAGACAGAAGGAGAAGUUGUUGCUGCUGCAGGAGAAUCACUGACUCUGAGAUGUACUUAUGAGAGCAGUGUGAGUGUCACAUUGUUCUGGUACAAACAAGAAGGAAACAGUUUCCCAAAGUACAUGGUGAAGCAGCUGUCAUCGUCAAAAUAUAAAGCUCCAGAUUUCGACAAUGACAGAUUUGAUGCUGACUUCAAUAAAGACGAGAAAUCCUUCAACCUGAAGAUCCAGGAUCUCCGUCUGUCAGACUCUGCUGUGUACUACUGCGCUCUGCAGCCCACAGUGACAGGAAACACCAGAACCCUGUACAAAAACCUGCAGUACUCCACAGCAGCCACUAGAGGGCCUCACUCCCUGUUAAACCACUAAAACCUGCAGUACUCCACAGCAGCCACUAGAGGGCCUCACUCCCUGUUGGUCCACUGGUUGUUGAGUCUUUGGACUGAAGACAAAGACAGAUGAGACGUUGUGACUGAGCUUAGUCUCAACCAUCACCAUUAUCUGCUUUAGACUGUGGCAACAGGACAGAAUGAAAACAAAAACAAUAAAAAAACAAAGUGCUACAAUAAAAUUAUUUGCUGUUAAUGUUUAACAGGUUGAAGGUUCAGAUCCAUGAGCUUUUGUUGCUUUAAUUGGAAGAUUGUGAAAAUGUUUGACUAAAUAUCUCAGAUUCUCUCAGUAAAUUGACUCAGAGGAAGCAGAUUAAAUAACAUGAACUUUAUUUAAAGAGGUAGAAAUUACAGACCAGAUGAGUCUUUUUCUUCAGCAGUGGAGUUUUGUUGAACUGUUGAUGAUUUAUAUUCUGCAGUGACUCAUAGUGGGAUGAAUAUAAAAUGAAGAGAAACCUG